CAACUACCAACGUUUCGUCCUUAAUUACGCUCGUUGUUGUAUUUCUGCGGGCCUGAGGUCGGCGGUGCGUUCUCUCCUAACAUUAGGGGGUUACGAAGGAGAGGCCCAGAUAUCAGCUGCGGCCUCCCAGGGGGACGUUCUGGGAGCGGAGGAAGCUUUGUAGAGUCGUCUGUGGAAGAAAAAUGAUAACGGGGAGCGGUCCUUCACUUACUGCCAGUUUCUUAGUCAGUCAACAAUGUUGGCGAUGAAAGAAGCUUUUUAAUUAAGCAAACAGGAGGCACAAAGGCUCGUGAAGCCAUGAAAAGCUCACCAGCUAGAAGUCCUUAGCGGCAAAUAUUUUCCCUUUUCUCACUGUUGAGCUCACUGUGCCUUUGUGGGGAGAGAGGCCCGAUUUACGUUCUCGUUGUGACUUCCUGGAUGUAGAAAGGAUACAGAAUGGUCGUUUCCAGCGCUCGAGGCUCUACCGACGUGAAUUGUAACUACAACCACAUCGAUUGCAGUGGGCCUGGAAAGACUGGGGCCAGAAAAAAAAAGGAGAGCAGGAAAGCAAAAAUGGUAUCCUGCUACUUCAUGAGAAGGGCCGGAACGCCAUCCGUGAACCAGUUUGGAUCUUUUCUCUAAGUGGCAAAUUAAACCAGGGACUCUUCUUCCCAUCCAAACUCUCCCACUGUUUUCCUAUCCAACCUCAGCCAAGAAGCUUGCCCCUUCAUCUGUAAAAGGGGACGAGGCACUGGCCAGCCACUCUCCUGACUGACAAGCAAAGUUGUGGAGGCUUUGCCAACCCAAAUAAAAACUGGGAGUCCUUUGACGGGCGGGAACCGUGUCUAAUCACCAACGGUAUAUUUUUUCACCCAGCACUAAAUACAGUGCUCUUCACAAA